GAUGAACGCUAGCGGCAGGCUUAAUACAUGCAAGUCGAGGGGCAGCAGGUCUGUAGCAAUACAGAUGCUGGCGACCGGCAAACGGGUGCGGAACACGUACAGAACCUUCCUUCGAGCGGGGAAUAGCCCAGAGAAAUUUGGAUUAAUACCCCAUAGUAUGGUGAAGAGGCAUCUCUUUACUCUUAAAGAUUUAUCACUUGAAGAUGGCUGUGCGGCUGAUUAGGUAGUUGGCGGGGUAACGGCCCACCAAGCCUACGAUCAGUAACUGGUGUGAGAGCACGAUCAGUCACACGGGCACUGAGACACGGGCCCGACUCCUACGGGAGGCAGCAGUAAGGAAUAUUGGUCAAUGGACGAAAGUCUGAACCAGCCAUGCCGCGUGGAGGAUGAAGGUCCUCUGGAUUGUAAACUUCUUUUAUAUGGGACGAAAAAGGGCCUUUCUAGGUCAACUGACGGUACCAUGUGAAUAAGCACCGGCUAACUCCGUGCCAGCCGCCGCGGUAACAC
rnacentral:rRNA from 1 species